rnacentral:rRNA from 1 species
UAUUGGACAAUGGGCGGGAGCCUGAUCCAGCCAUGCCGCGUGCAGGAAGACUGCCCUAUGGGUUGUAAACUGCUUUUAUACGGGAAGAAACACUCCCUCGUGAGGGAAUUUGACGGUACCGUAAGAAUAAGGAUCGGCUAACUCCGUGCCAGCAGCCGCGGUAAUACGGAGGAUCCAAGCGUUAUCCGGAAUCACUGGGUUUAAAGGGUCCGUAGGUGGACGAUUAAGUCAGAGGUGAAAUCUUGCAGCUCAACUGUAAAAUUGCCUUUGAUACUGGUUGUCUUGAGUUAUUAUGAAGUGGUUAGAAUAUGUAGUGUAGCGGUGAAAUGCAUAGAUAUUACAUAGAAUACCAAUUGCGAAGGCAGAUCACUAAUAAUAUACUGACACUGAUGGACGAAAGCGUGGGUAGCGAAC